GGCCGCGGGAAUUCGAUUCAGGCCUAACACAUGCAAGUCGAGCGAACCCUUCGGGGUGAGCGGCGGACGGGUGAGUAACGCGCCGGGUAACCUGCCCUGUAUACACGGAUAACAUACCGAAAGGUAUGCUAAUACGAGAUAACAUGUAAUGAUCGCAUGGUCGAUACAUCAAAGCUCCGGCGGUACAGGAUGGACCCGCGUCUGAUUAGCUAGUUGGUGAGGUAAUGGCUCACCAAGGCGACGAUCAGUAGCCGACCUGAGAGGGUGAUCGGCCACAUUGGAACUGAGACACGGUCCAAACUCCUACGGGAGGCAGCAGUGGGGAAUAUUGCAAAAGGGGCGAAAGCCUGAUGCAGCAACGCCGCGGCAUUUAGAAGGCCUUCGGGUCGUAAAGCUCUGUCCUCAAGGAAGAUAAUGA
rnacentral:rRNA from 1 species